rnacentral:antisense_RNA from 1 species
UUAGAGGAAGUGGAUCAAUUCCUCAAAAAUCGCAAGCUGCCAGAGCUGCUGGCUGAAAAAUCACAAGAAAUGUUACACAAGUUAGACAAUGUGACCUUCACCCAUUAUCUUCAUGUUCCUGGAAUGUGUGAUGCAAAGAACCAUCUACAGCCAGUCAAUAGCUUAUGUUAUUUUAAUGAACCAGUGUGGCAACUUGCCCCUUCUUUUUUUCUUUCAAACCCACUUGUAACUGCUGCUAACUGGAGCAUAUGUUCAGAGCCACCUGAAUCUACGUCUCCCAGGAUGCCGUCCUCAAACGUGGCCCAAAUAAACCCUCCACGUGUACUAA